UACCAUAGACUUUAAUAGGAUUGUUUAACGGCCGUUUAACAUGGCUUUUCUAACGGAUGUUUGUAACGGAUGAAUUUUUAUAGUGUGAAAGCAGCCUUAGCUGAACAGACAUUUGUCUGACAGAUAUCAAAAGUGUGUGGACACCUUCAGAAGCAGAUGCUUCAGCAGAACAACAAGUGCCAGCAGCCCAUUCAGACCCAUAGAAAAAACAUCCACACACCAAAACUAAACUACAGCACAAAAAUGGCUACAAUAAAGAAGAACUGCACAUUGAGGACGUUUCUGUAUACCCACGUGCUGGGACCAAUGUUACUUUUGUGUUAUGAUGAAAAAGACCACAUGCAAUAUACUAAUUCUUAUCAUAAAUAAUUAUUUUGAGUCUGAAACUAAUAUGGCUGAAUCACACAGCACAGAUAACAGUCUACAAUGGGCUCACAGCCUCAUUCCAUGCUGGGAGAAGAUGGAGAUAAAGUGACAUUCAGUAAGGACUCCAGGGACAGUAUUUCAGAUUUCCAAAGUAAUAAAGAAAACAAAU